rnacentral:lncRNA from 1 species
GUCAUUGCGGUAGCUGGCCUCCUGAACUGGGAAACCUCUUAGCACAUUUUAUUCAUGUUCCUUUAAAGAACACCAGGUAUUAAUACAAGCCGGGGGCACCUUAGCAAGGGUUGUGUUUUCUGUGGAAGAAGGUUUAUGUCCAGAAAAUUCUACGGGAAACGUGGACCAUGGCAUAGAGCUUUAUCUGCUUAUGUGCAGUGUGCCCCAAGCUCCUUUCUCCCUCCCUCUUCUCUCCUCCUCCCAUUCAGGGAAGGAAGACCUGCCUUCUCCAAUACACAGUAUAAAAAAGAAUGGAUUUGACAUCAGGAAUGCCAUAGUUUUAUGCCAUCUCCCUCACUAUCCAGCAGUGUGAUGUGUUAGACAACUUCCUUCAUUGUCUGCCCUUGACAUGACUAUGAAGUACUUCCAUACUUGGAGUGAAAGAGAAUUGAGAGUCUGCUCCAAGAGUUACAGCAGAAAAUCUGUGAAGAAUGCUGUGUUCUAGGAGGAACUGCUCUUUGGGCAGAACUCUCCCAAACUAGCUUGUCAGCCUGCUGCCCUCCAGCCACUGCCUCUGAUGUGUCCUGCUGGUGCUGAUUCUAACACCACCACAAGCUUCAAGAUGCGGAGAUGCAGUCCACCUUCGGGCAAUAAUUCACUGCAUGUGAACCUGGCACCUGCCCUGUUUCCCUCUUUUCAAAUUUACCUUUUACCUCAUGCACUUUGUUUUCCUUAUGCUACAUUUUGCUUCUGUAAGAAAUUCAAAAGCAAAUCAAUAUGAAAAUCAGUCUCCCUCUAAAACCCUGAAUUCCUCCACUGAGAUCUCCUCCAUCCAGUACUAUUUGCAUAUCUCCAACAACACGUAACUUAAGCAUUGUUUUAUACCUUGACUUUUGACUCUAAUAAUCUAUCAUAGCAAUCUCACUGUUAUCUGAAUUGGUAAAUUUGUCUUAUUCUUCUGAAUUGUUACAUUGUACUUCAUUAGAUUGAUUUAUCAUAAUUACCUACCUGCCAAACUACGGAGAGAAUUUUACAAUGUCUCCAGUCUUUGACUAUGAUUAUAGCACAAGGACUUAUGUACACACCCAUUUUCAGUUGGGAAAAUGUCCACAAAUAGAAUUUGUGGAUCAAAAACUAACUAUAUUUGCAUUAUUUCUUCAAAAUUUUGCCAAUAAUGACCCAUGAUGGGUUUUCUCCAUGGGACAAGAUGUGGCAAACGCUGAUAAAUACAGUUGCAGAUAUUGGAUGAAGGCGAUAGAAAAUUAUUUUUAGUGUCAGUGUAUCUGGUAACUGUAUUUAAAUCCCACCUUUAUAAUUCCAUGGUGGACUCAUUUUGAGGAAGACAUUUAAAUGCCCUUCUCACCUGUAACAGAUGCUUAUAAAAAUGCCCAACUAUUGUGUUCUUUUAAGUGUUGAAUGAGAUCAUCUUUGCUGAAAAUGUUUAGAAAACUGUGGGGUAUAUAAUGAGUCCUCAAUGAAUGUGAACAGCUACCACCACUACUUCCACCUCCACCAUCACCAUCACUCAGUAGUUAUCUGUAUCCACACAUCAACUGUGUCUCUGCCUAAUAGCUUUGUUGACUGAUGGGUGUACCCAUACACUGUCAAGGAAUAUUUUUCAUUUACAGCCUGAAUUUUGAGCAGGUUUUAUUUUUAGUUGUAUAUCCAUAGUGUACAAACAAACCAUAGGAGCAUAUGGCUCCUAAUUAGGCUUGAUCAUGAUAGAGAAGGACUGCUUAAGAGGUCAGUUAGUACCUCUCUAGAGGUUAAACUACUUCAUAAACACAGCAAGUGCAUAACUCCGUAAGACACGACUUUAAGAUAGGUAGAGAUGGCAUGUCAUCAUUGACAGUAUUUAAAUGUUGGCAUUGCUGCUUAGCUACAGUUGUAGAAUUGCCACAAAGAUUCCAUCACUGACAACAAAGUGAAAUAUUGAUGCAGUAAUUAGUUUUCUGUGCCAUAUGUUCUGGGUUUUACAUACAGUGAUUAUGCAGUGCAGAUUCCUGGGAAGAUGAUUAGGAGAGCAGGAAUAACAGCAAGAUGUCAGGUUUUUGCUAGAAAGAACCAUAGCCUUCCCCAACAAGACUCAAAGAGAAGCAAGUUCAUUUCCUACUGCACCCGACAUCUUUGAUUUAGUGUGAUAGAUUUUUCAAAGAAUAUAUGGACCUGUCUUGAAGAGGCAAGUGGAACAAGCUAUUCUCUUCCCUUUUAUUUCUCUCUUUUGUUUCUACCCUUAUCCUCAGUCUUGCUGAUAGUUGUGUCUGUGCUUGGUAAAGAACACCAACAUUCCACAGCCAAGGGGUCCCACUUUUGUCCUCAGCAGUGAUGUGAAAACAGAGUCAUAAGUCACCCCUGUGUAUGUUUUACAGCAGUGAUUCUGCUCCUUAUACAUAUUUGAAGACAUAAUUAUGUAAUAGGUUGUAAAAUACCUUAAAUUACUGAAGUUGUUGCUUUUAAAAUGCCCUUCCUUCUAGAGCUCCUGGCCUAACUGUAUUCUAGACUCUAAAGCUUCCCUCAGGAUGAAUAAUAAAGACAAAGAAAAUAAGUAGCCCUUUAGCACAAAAAUGGAGGUAUUUAAAGAAAAGGGGAAAAACAUUUUUAUCUGCUUUGUCAAGAAUCUCAUAUGUUAAAACUUGUCAUAUAGAGCAGCAUUAGGGACCCAUUCGAAGUAUUAUAAUUUUUGUUGAAAACUAAAUGACAGAUUAUAUUCUCUGCAGAUUAACUCUUUUCCCUAAGAAAUGUGGAUUCAUAGGAGGCAUCUUAUCUCAAAGCUGCAGUAUCAGUUCCAUUCCAUUUACUUUCUAAAGACACCCAGUGGCCCUCCCUCCUUUAUCAUAGGAGGUCAGAACAAAAUACUGAUCUUAAGUCUAUGAGUAUGUGUGGGGUUACUGUGUUUUCUAAGAAUAUUUCUACUGUUAAGUACUCAUAGGUGGCUAUUAACAUGAAGGCUUUGUUCCUGAGCAGCUAAGCCAUCUUUCUCUUUGGCAGGAGGGCAGGGGUGUGGGUGUGGGUGGAGGCCAAGUAGGUGAGGCCAAGUAGAGGAAGAUAGAGUGGUAACUGGAUCAGAGCUGGCAGCUUGGGAUUCUUGGAUUUUGCCUCCAUUACUCUUUUCCCCAGAGGGAGGACUUCUCAGAAAGUAUAAAUCUCUGCUGGUAAGACAGUAAGACCAUCCCUGUCCACCCCAGUGAAUGAAAGAAUAUACCACCCGGAAGGGGCAGCUUUCCACCACAUGGAGGCAGUUAGGGUUAAAGAAAAACGGUGACACACCCACCAAACACUGUCUGGGUUGGAUGGAGAUUUUUAUCUUUUUUAAAAAUCAAUUUAUUCAUCUUUUAUCUUGGAUCUCCCAUCAAACUUUGGUGACACUUUCUUCUACUGAAAAUGGGUAUCAUGAAACCAGUAUGCUUUACUUUCUUACUGCUGUGUAACCAUCAUCACAAACUUAGCAUCUUGAAACAACACCCAUUUCUUCCUUAGCAGUUUCUGUGGGUCAAGAAUCAGAGCACAGCUUAGCUGGGCCUUCACUCAACUGUAUUCAGGUGGCAGCCAUGGCUGUGAUGAUAAGAGACUCAACUGGGGAAGGUGAACUAGGGAAGUGUUCAUAACCAAGUUCCCUUCAAAAUCAGACGAGAACAGAAAUAAGUCUGCACACAGUAGUGUCCUACUUCUAUCCCAUCACUUUCACCCUAUUCUAGUGAUGGUAAGCAAGUCAUAGGUUCUACCCACACUUGAGAAGAGAGUGUGAAGUCAGGAGGCAAGCAUCCUGAGGGCCAUGUUAAAGUCUAUAGCCUAUAGAGUGACAUAUAUGCCUACUAGGAUUGUGGUGGAAAACUGAAAAGACGUUAUAUACCAAAUAAUUGUAUAAUAUAAAAUUAUAAACAGAGCACAGGUGGUAAAGAUGACUUCAAUUCUCCCUUUGAAAAGAGAACCAUUAAAUGAUGAAUGGUAUUAUAUAAUACAAAGUACCUGAAGACAGUGAAUAGAUGGACUUAGAAAUCUGUUAACAGCCUGAUACGGAAUGAAUAUGCUUUUCCCUCCCUUGCUCAUUUCUAUGUUGAAGUUCUAACCUUUAAGAAAUUGCUAUUUGAAGGUAAGGCCUUUGGGGAGAAAUUAGGUUUAGAAGAGGUCAUAAGAGUGGGCGUGGUAGAAUGGAAUCAGUGUCCUCUUAAGAAAGGGAAGACUGAGCAGAGCUCUCCUCUUCUCUGCCAUGUGAAGAUAUAUUAGGAAAGUUUCCUUCUAUGAGCCAAGAAGAGGGAUCUCACUAAGAACCAAUUCUACCAGCCAGCCCCUUGAUUUAGGAAUCCCAAGCCUCCAGAACUGUGAGAAACAAAUGUCUGUUUUGCAAGCCAUCCAAUCCAUGGCAGCCUGAGCUCACUGACACACAGCCCAUAUUUUUUUUUCUUCUGUAUUAUCAAAUUUGGGUUGAAAUCUCCUCACUCUUUGUACACUGAUUGCUGAGCUGAAUUUUAGCUAUUACAUAACAUAAAGCAUUCAAUUUGAAUCAUGAAUCAUUUUCCCUAAAACUUUUUUUAAAAUUAAAAAAAAAUGUAGUGAUGUUUUAUAGAGCAAUUUGUGUUCACUGCAUUUUCCCCUGCAUAUAUUAAGAAUGUGAAAGUGAAUGAAGGGGCUUAAUUUCCCUCCAGAAGGCUGCAUGCCCUGCACUUUAAAAAGGCACAUGUGUGCCACAUGGGAAAAAAAUCUCAUCUGCACAGUCAUGUCAGCUGCAGAUUUAAAUGACAAAGAAGUGGAAAACAGUGCAUGAGUAACUGGCAUCACUGAAGAGGAAUUGAGGCAAUAAGGUUCUGAAUAGGAUUUUCCAGCGUUUCGCAGGCAAGCACAAGUGGGAACAUCUCCAAAAAAAACCAUUUCUUUUCAGGAUAUAUAACUCAAGCAGAGUCGAUAGUUAUUCAGGAAAACAACUAGCUUGAAGGGAUAGUUUAUGUAUUAAAGUGUAAAAUAACAAGUGAUCUAUACAAUCAGUGAGCAGGCUUCAAUGUGUGUCUAUCCAUUUAUUUAUUUCCUUUACUUGCAUUAAAUGGAUGCUCAAGCAUUCAAGCUUCAUGAGAGGCUUGGAGGGACAGGUGGAAAUGAAUACAGUGUGAUUUCUAAGACCAAGGUGCCAAGAGCUGCUGACAUUCAUAUAAACAUGUUGGUUGUGGACUCACUUUCUGAGGGAAAGUGAGAGAGAUGACCCAUAGUAGACAUGCAGGGUGAGCGCAAGGAUAUUUUCUAUGCCUGGAAUAUCUUCUGCUUUCUUGAUUAUUUCCAAACUACUAGGGGAUAUUAAUGGGCAAGUGCUCUCAUUCAUUCCCUUGAGAAAUUACCUGUCUGUAAUUGGGGGUGUUGGUCAGCAUGAUGACUCAGGAUUCCUGGGGAAGAGAGCUAGGGCACCACAACAAAAGUUUCAUUCAAGAAAAUACUGAGAGGAGUUUCCAUCAUGGCUCAGUGGAAACAAAUCCAACUAGGAACCAUGAGGUUGUGGGUUCGAUCCCCAGCCUUACUCAGUGGGUUAAAAGAUCAGCGUUGCUGUGAGCUGUGGUGAAGGUCGAUAACGCGGCUCGGAUGGAUCUGGCGCUGCUGUGGCGUAGGCCAGGAUCUGUAGCUCUGAUUAGAACCCUAGCC